rnacentral:rRNA from 1 species
UACGGGGGGGGGCAAGCGUUGUUCGGAAUUACUGGGCGUAAAGGGCUCGUAGGCGGCCAACUAAGUCGGAUGUGAAAUCCCCGGGCUUAACCUGGGAACUGCGCUUGUUACUGGCAGGCUUGAGUGUGGCAGAGGGGGGGUGGAAUUCCACGUGUAGCAGUGAAAUGCGUAGAGAUGUGGAGGAACACCGAUGGCGAAGGCAGCCCCCUGGGCUAACACUGACGCUCAUGCACGAAAGCGUGGGGAGCAAACAGG